rnacentral:tRNA from 1 species
AGGGGUGUAGUUUAAUGGCAGAAUAGCGGUCUCCAAAACCGGUGAUGGGAGUUCGAUUCUCUCCACCCCUGCCA